rnacentral:lncRNA from 1 species
CCCAUUUGGCUCCUCCGCCGGGGGCGCCCCCAGGCUGGGCAGGCUGGCUCCCCGUCCCCCUAACCCCGCCGCCCGGGCACCCCUCGUCUGCGGGCGCGGGGUCCAAGUGUCCCCUGUCCAGGGCGGGCAGAAAGGAGAAGUCGCAAUCUCGGUUGAAGUCUCUUCCCCGCCUCCUUCGUGCACUUCAAGGCUGCCUCGGCCCCGCGCCCCUCCCGCGUCCCCGGCCCCGCACCUUGCCGCAGCGGCCCCUGCGCCAGUUCGGACCGGUCCUCGGGAAAGGCGUCGCGCAGGCGCUGCCACAGGCGGCCCAGGUCCGCCAGGCUGCGGUGCAGGUAGAGCACGCUGCGGUCCGACCACUCCGUGCGGAUCUCGAAGAACUCCUCUUCGUCGCCGCGCCGGCUGACGAUGAGCCUGCGGAUGCCGUUCACCCAGCAGCCGCGCACGAACAUGUUCACGAGCGACGUGCCCUCAAACACCGC